ACACAUGCAAGUCGAACGAGAAUCUGCUGAAGGAGGAUUCGUCCAACGGAUGUAGAGGAAAGUGGCGGACGGGUGAGUAACGCGUGAGGAACCUGCCUUGAAGAGGGGGACAACAGUUGGAAACGACUGCUAAUACCGCAUGAAGCAUAGGGGUCGCAUGAUCCUUAUGCCAAAGAUUUAUCGCUUCAAGAUGGCCUCGCGUCUGAUUAGCUGGUUGGCGGGGUAACGGCCCACCAAGGCGACGAUCAGUAGCCGGACUGAGAGGUUGAACGGCCACAUUGGGACUGAGAUACGGCCCAGACUCCUACGGGAGGCAGCAGUGGGGAAUAUUGGGCAAUGGGCGCAAGCCUGACCCAGCAACGCCGCGUGAAGGAAGAAGGCUUUCGGGUUGUAAACCUCUUUUAAGAGGGAAGAGCAGAAGACGGUACCUCUAGAAUAAGCCACGGCUAACUACGUGCCAGCAGCCGCGGUAAUACGUAGGUGGCAAGCGUUGUCCGGAUUUACUGGGUGUAAAGGGCGUGCAGCCGGGUCUGCAAGUCAGAUGUGAAAUCCAUGGGCUCAACCCAUGAACUGCAUUUGAAACUGUAGAUCUUGAGUGUCGGAGGGGCAAUCGGAAUUCCUAGUGUAGCGGUGAAAUGCGUAGAUAUUAGGAGGAACACCAGUGGCGAAGGCGGAUUGCUGGACGAUAACUGACGGUGAGGCGCGAAAGUGUGGGGAGCAAACAGGAUUAGAUACCCUGGUAGUCCACACUGUAAACGAUGAAUACUAGGUGUGCGGGGACUGACCCCCUGCGUGCCGCAGUAA
rnacentral:rRNA from 1 species